CCUUACCACCUUUUGACAUGCCUGGACCGCCAGAGAGAUCUGGCUUUCCCUUCGGGGACUAGGACACAGGUGCUGCAUGGCUGUCGUCAGCUCGUGUUGUGAAAUGUUGGGUUAAGUCCCGCAACGAGCGCAACCCUUAUCCUUUGUUGCCAGCGGUUCGGCCGGGAACUCAAAGGAGACUGCCAGCGAUAAACUGGAGGAAGGUGGGGAUGACGUCAAGUCAUCAUGGCCCUUACGAGUAGGGCUACACACGUGCUACAAUGGCAUAUACAAAGAGAAGCGACCUCGCGAGAGCAAGCGGACCUCAUAAAGUAUGUCGUAGUCCGGAUUGGAGUCUGCAACUCGACUCCAUGAAGUCGGAAUCGCUAGUAAUCGUAGAUCAGAAUGCUACGGUGAAUACGUUCCCGGGCCUUGUACACACCGCCCGUCACACCAUGGGAGUGGGUUGCAAAAGAAGUAGGUAGCUUAACCUUCGGGAGGGCACUUACCACUUUGUGAUUCAUGACUGGGGUGAAGUCGUAACAAGGUAACCGUAGGGGAACCUGCGGCUGGAUCACCUCCUU
rnacentral:rRNA from 1 species